UAAUCCGCGUCGGUCCACGCC
rnacentral:siRNA from 1 species